rnacentral:rRNA from 1 species
CGAUGCAACGCGAAAACCUUACCACCUUGACAUGGCAGGAAUCCCGAAGAGAUUGGAGUGCUCGAAAGAGAACCUGCACACAGGUGCUGCAUGGCUGUCGUCAGCUCGUGUCGUGAGAUGUUGGGUUAAGUCCCGCAACGAGCGCAACCCUUGCCAUUAGUUGCUACGAAAGGGCACUCUAAUGGGGACUGCCGGUGACAAACCGGAGGAAAGGUGGGGAUGACGUCAAGUCCUCAUGGCCCUUAUAGGUGGGGCUACACACGUCAUACAAUGGCCGGUACAGAGGGUAGCCAACCCGCGAGGGGGAGCCAAUCCCACAAAGCCGGUCGUAGUCCGGAUCGCAGUCUGCAACUCGACUGCGUGAAGUCGGAAUCGCUAGUAAUCGCGGAUCAGCAUGUCGCGGUGAAUACGUUCCCGGGUCUU